rnacentral:lncRNA from 10 species
GGACAAAUACCAUGAGAAGAAAAAGGGAACAGAAGACAGGAGAGGAAUCUGGGAAAUACAACAAACCUCCUCCCUUUCUCAUCCUUCUGCUCCAAGCCAUUGGAGACAAAGGUUUCUGUACUGGAGAAAGAAGGAAGGCUUUGAAUCAAAUGUAAGAUUGAAAAUUGCUAAAGUUUAAACAAAGUGUUGACUGAAAUGAGAUUGUUUUAAUAAAAGUGGAAAGGUGAAAGAAAAGAUGACGUCACACAAAGAUGUCCUCUAGGAAGCCUCUUGUUCCGCUGUUGAUGGGGCUUUGACAGAGAAUAGUGGAAAGAAGGAAUUGGCAAAAAUUAAAAUUUUAAUCAAACCAGUCACAUGAUUUGAUUUUCAGACCAUGAACAUAGGUAUUAACAUCCCCAUUUUACUGUUGAGAAGUCUUGAGCCCAGAAAAGUUAAGCUUGAUCAUAUGUGAACUAUGUAAUAUACAACUGAGAACUAUGUAACAUACAACUGAGAUUCAAACAAUCCUAUUUUACUGUCCCUGCACCAUGAAACAUACUUAAAAUGGACAUGACCCAUUCAUGCCCUUUAUCUACUAACAUGAAAUUUUACCAUACAUAUCUUCACAUUUCAAACUCCUCUCCAUAGUUCAAUGUUAAUUUUAAAUAUUACCUUUUUAUCUGAAAACUACGUUUACCUAGUCAAAACUAUAUCCACAGAAUUAAUUUCUUCUUCUACAAUAAUCUCACAGAAUUUUAUUAAGACUUCUGUUGUAGCCUAUGUCAGGCCUCUGAGCCCAAG